rnacentral:rRNA from 1 species
AUCGGUGACAGGUGGUGCAUGGUUGUCGUCAGCUCGUGUCGUGAGAUGUUGGGUUAAGUCCCGCAACGAGCGCAACCCCUACGUUUAGUUGCUAACGCGUGAAGGCGAGCACUCUAGACGAACUGCCGUUGACAAAACGGAGGAAGGUGGGAUGACGUCAAAUCAUCAUGCCCCUUAUGUUCUGGGCUACACACGUGCUACAAUGGCCGGUACAGACGGACGCAAAGCCGCGAGGUGGAGCAAAUCCUAAAAAGCCGGUCUCAGUUCGGAUUGCAGGCUGCAAUUCGCCUGCAUGAAGUCGGAAUCGCUAGUAAUCGCAGGUCAGCAUACUGCGGUCGAAUACGUUCCCGGGCCUU